AAGGUGAGUGGAUCACUUGAGGUCAGGAGUUAGAGACCAGCCUGGUCAACUUGGUGAAACCCUGUCUCUACUAGAAAUACAAAAAUUAGCUGGCUGUGGCAGUGCACACCUGUAAUCCCAGCUACUCGGAAGGCUGAGGCAGGAGAAUAGCUUGAACCCAGGAGGUAGAGGCUGCAGUGAGCCGGGAUAGCGCCACUGCACUCCAGCCUGGGCAACAGUGAGACUCCAUCUCAAGAAAAUAAAAACAAAAAAAAAAUUCUCCCCUCAAUUCCCCAUUUUUUUUUCCAAACCAUGUGACUUCAAUGGAGUGAGAAAUAAAAUCUGACUGUGUUUAGUAACCUGCCUGCUUUCCCGUUCCUCUGCCCUCUCCUCACACCCUGUAACCAAAUCCAAACCUAGACUCUACUGCACGACAGCCAGUAAAUCAGCAGACAAGGUGUUGGGGAAGGGAGGCGACUUUAUUUAGAGAGCCGCAAAUCAAGAAGACGGCGGACUGCUGUCCUAACACUGUAACUCAUCAUGAGUUAAUACUAACUUUGGGCCCCUGUUAUGUUAGGAAAGGGGAAGAGGAAGGGGGAUGAGACCAAGAGGUGACUGAUGACCGCAGAUAUCUGGGCACUAGCAAGGACCUGAAGAGGUUGGGAACCUUCUCUGUCUUGGUCAUGAGACAAUGUUCCUAUACAUCUUUUUUUUUUUUCCUUUUGAGACGGAGUCUCACUCUGUCGCCCAGGUUAGGGUGCAGCAGCACAAUCACUGCAACUUCCACCUCCUGGGUUCAAGCGAUUCUCCUGCCUCAACCUCCCCAGUAGCUGGGGUUACAGGCAUGAGCCACCACGCCCAGCCAUGAUCUGAAGCUUCUAAUACCAUGUGCAUGUUAAGGUUCCCUAUUCCUGCCUGACUCUUGUUCUUUUCAGAUUGUCAGUUAGCAGCUCUAUUGUUAAGUACAAAUCACUUUCAUUCCCCUUAUUAGUCCUGGACCCCAGAGAGGUGGCCUUUUCCCUGGGGUGGGAGGUAUGGCUAGGCAACUGUUCAGUGUGCUUACCUCAUAGGAGAGGCCCUGGGGCUUAGGACUGUGUUGAGGUUUGAGAUGGGGCCUCAAAGGAGAAGAUGCUCUUCGACUCUGCGUUUGCCUGCAGCUUUCCCCGCUGGUUCCUGGACACUCACCAGUCACAGUAAUAUGACUGCUGAAUACACCCCUGCUUAGGACAGUGGGCUUCCCUCUGCUGCAUGGCUUGGACUAUCGCUAACCUGGAAAGGAAUCCCUGUCUGCUCUCCCCAAGCAUUUCUCUUCCAUCCAUUCCAUUCACAAUAAAAACUUAGGGUAGUUGUCUUUUUUUUUUUUGAGACAAGGUCUUGCUCUGUCACCCAGAGCAGUGGCUCUAUCUUAGCUCACUGCAAUCUCUGUCUCCCAGGCUCCAGUGAUCCUCCCACCUGAGCCUCCCAAGUAGCUGAGACUACAGGUGUGCACCACCACUCCAGGCAAAUUUUUAAUUUUUUUUUUUUUUUUUUGUAGAGACAGGGGUCUCACUGUAUUGCCCAAGACGGUCUUGAACUCCUGGCCUCAAAUGAUCCUCCCUCCUUGACCUCCAAAGUGCUGGGAUUACAGGCAUGAGGCAUGCCUGGCCCUUCGUACAACAUUUCAUUUUAUAAUGAGAGAUGACAUUUAAGACAUCGAUGAAACCAUCCAGGUCACAGGUUUAAAC
rnacentral:lncRNA from 1 species